rnacentral:rRNA from 1 species
UUCGGGUUGUAAAGUACUUUCAGCAGUGAGGAAGGUGGUAGUGUUAAUAGCACUAUCAUUUGACGUUAGCUGCAGAAGAAGCACCGGCUAACUCCGUGCCAGCAGCCGCGGUAAGUACGGAGGGUGCGAGCGUUAAUCGGAAUUACUGGGCGUAAAGCGCAUGCAGGUGGUUUGUUAAGUCAGAUGUGAAAGACCCGGGGCGUCAACCUCGGAAUUGCAUUUGAAACUAGGCAGACUAGAGUACUGUAGAGGGGGGUAGGAAUUUCAGGUGUAGCGGUGAAAUGCGUAGAGAUCUGAAGGAAUACCGGUGGCGAAGGCGGCCCCCUGGACAGAUACUGACACUCAGAUGCGAAAGCGUGGGGAGCAAACAGGAUUAGAUACCCUGGUAG